GACGAAGAACGUAGCGAAAUGCGAUAAGUAAUGUGAAUUGCAGAAUUCCGUGAAUCAUCGAAUCUUUGAACGCACAUUGCGCCCCCUGGCAUUCCGGGGGGCAUGCCUGUCCGAGCGUCAUUUCUGCCCUCAAGCACGGCUUGUGUGUUGGGUGUGGUCCCCCCGGGGACCUGCCCGAAAGGCAGCGGCGACGUCCGUCUGGUCCUCGAGCGUAUGGGGCUCUGUCACUCGCUCGGGAAGGACCUGCGGGGGUUGGUCACCACUAUAUUUUACCACGGUUGACCUCGGAUCAGGUAGGAGUUACCCGCUGAACUUAAGCAUAUCAAUAAGCGGAGGA
rnacentral:misc_RNA from 1 species